rnacentral:tRNA from 1 species
GGGUCGAUAGCUCAAUCGGUAGAGCAGUUGCCUUUUAAGCAAUUGGUUCGGGGUUCAAGUCCCCGUCGACCCACCA